rnacentral:tRNA from 1 species
CCUCUAUUGGCUCAGAAGGUAAAGCAUCUGCCUGCAAUGCGGGAGACCCAGGUUCGAUCCCUGGGUCGGGAA